CCUACGGGGGGCAGCAGUGAGGAAUAUUGGUCAAUGGACGAGAGUCUGAACCAGCCAAGUAGCGUGAAGGAUGACUGCCCUAUGGGUUGUAAACUUCUUUUAUAUGGGAAUAAAAUGUUCCACGUGUGGGAUUUUGUAUGUACCAUAUGAAUAAGGAUCGGCUAACUCCGUGCCAGCAGCCGCGGUAAUACGGAGGAUCCGAGCGUUAUCCGGAUUUAUUGGGUUUAAAGGGAGCGUAGGUGGAUUGUUAAGUCAGUUGUGAAAGUUUGCGGCUCAACCGUAAAAUUGCAGUUGAUACUGGCAGUCUUGAGUACAGUAGAGGUGGGCGGAAUUCGUGGUGUAGCGGUGAAAUGCUUAGAUAUCACGAAGAACUCCGAUUGCGAAGACAGUUCACUGGACUACAACUGACACUGAGGCUCGAAAGUGUGGGUAUCAAACAGGAUUAGAUACCCCAGUAGUC
rnacentral:rRNA from 1 species